GCCGGCAUAGCUCAGUUGGUAGAGCACAUCAUUCGUAAUGAUGGGGUCGGGGGUUCGAAUCCCUCUGCCGGCACCA
rnacentral:tRNA from 1 species